AACGCUGGCGGCGUGCUUAACACAUGCAAGUCGAACGGUAAGGCCCUACGGGGUACACGAGUGGCGAACGGGUGAGUAACACGUGGGUGAUCUGCCCUGCACUUCGGGAUAAGCUUGGGAAACUGGGUCUAAUACCGGAUAGGGACCACGGUCUGCAUGGAUUGUGGUGGAAAGCUUUUGCGGUGUGGGAUGGGCCCGCGGCCUAUCAGCUUGUUGGUGGGGUGAUGGCCUACCAAGGCGACGACGGGUAGCCGGCCUGAGAGGGUGUCCGGCCACACUGGGACUGAGAUACGGCCCAGACUCCUACGGGAGGCAGCAGUGGGGAAUAUUGCACAAUGGGCGCAAGCCUGAUGCAGCGACGCCGCGUGGGGGAUGACGGCCUUCGGGUUGUAAACCUCUUUCAAUAGGGACGAAGCGCAAGUGACGGUACCUAUAGAAGAAGCACCGGCCAACUGCGUG
rnacentral:rRNA from 1 species